AUUCAUAUAUAUAUAUAUGAAUGAACACACACAGACAUAUGUAUAUGUAUAUGUAUAUGUAUAUGUAUAUGUAUAUGUAU